AGGACGAACGCUGGCGGCGUGCUUAACACAUGCAAGUCGAGCGGAAAGGCCUUUCGGGGUACUCGAGCGGCGAACGGGUGAGUAACACGUGAGUAACCUGCCCCCUACUUUGGGAUAACCCUCGGAAACGGGGGCUAAUACCGGAUAUGACUUGGCCCGGCAUCGGGUUUGGUGGAAAGUUUUUCGGUGGGGGAUGGGCUCGCGGCCUAUCAGCUUGUUGGUGGGGUAAUGGCCUACCAAGGCGACGACGGGUAGCC
rnacentral:rRNA from 1 species